rnacentral:rRNA from 1 species
GGCAAUGAUGCGUAGCCGAACUGAGAGGUUGAUCGGCCACAUUGGGACUGAGACACGGCCCAAACUCCUACGGGAGGCAGCAGUAGGGAAUCUUCCACAAUGGGCGAAAGCCUGAUGGAGCAACGCCGCGUGGGUGAAGAAGGUCUUCGGAUCGUAAAACCCUGUUGUUAGAGAAGAAAGUGCGUGAGAGUAACUGUUCACGUUUCGACGGUAUCUAACCAGAAAGCCACGGCUAACUACGUGCCAGCAGCCGCGGUAAUACGUAGGUGGCAAGCGUUAUCCGGAUUUAUUGGGCGUAAAGGGAACGCAGGCGGUCUUUUAAGUCUGAUGUGAAAGCCUUCGGCUUAACCGGAGUAGUGCAUUGGAAACUGGGAGACUUGAGUGCAGAAGAGGAGAGUGGAACUCCAUGUGUAGCGGUGAAAUGCGUAGAUAUAUGGAAGAACACCAGUGGCGAAAGCGGCUCUCUGGUCUGUAACUGACGCUGAGGUUCGAAAGCGUGGGUAGCAAACAGGACUAGAUACCCUGGUAGUCCACGCCGUAAACGAUGAAUGCUAAGUGUUGGAG